rnacentral:rRNA from 1 species
AGUAAUGCAUCGGAACAUGUCCAUUCGUGGGGGAUAGCCCGGCGAAAGCCGGAUUAAUACCGCAUACGCCCCGAGGGGGAAAGCGGGGGACUUCGCAAGAGGCCUCGCGCGAAUGGGUUGGCCGAUGUCCGAUUAGCUAGUUGGUGGGGUAAAGGCUUACCAAGGCGAUGAUCGGUAGCUGGUCUGAGAGGAUGAUCAGCCACACUGGGACUGAGACACGGCCCAG